rnacentral:rRNA from 1 species
GAGUGAACGCUGGCGGCAGGCCUAACACAUGCAAGUCGAACGGCAGCACAGAGGAGCUUGCUCCUUGGGUGGCGAGUGGCGGACGGGUGAGGAAAACGUCGGAAUCUGCCUAUUUGUGGGGGAUAACGUAGGGAAACUUACGCUAAUACCGCAUACGACCUACGGGUGAAAGCGGAGGACCUUCGGGCUUCGCGCAGAUAGAUGAGCCGACGUCGGAUUAGCUAGUUGGCGGGGUAAAGCCCACAAGGCGACGAUCCGUAGCUGGUCUGAGAGGAUGAUCAGCCACACUGGAACUGAGACACGGUCCAGACUCCUACGGGAGGCAGCAGUGGGAAUAUUGGACAAUGGGCGCAAGCCUGAUCCAGCCAU